GUAGGUGAACCUGCGGAAGGAUCAUUACUGGGUUUAGGACUUCGUGUCCACUCACCCGCCCUUUGUCAUGAGACGCGAAAGCAACUCACAUCAUUUCGAUCCCUGGCUCUCAGGCGCCCCUACUAUUAAUUUAGCGGGGUACCGUCUAUUAGCCGCGGGUCGGCAUUACAAACCCAUGCGGAUUACUGAAGUCUGAUACAAUUUUUUAAACGAAAUUAAAACUUUCAACAACGGAUCUCUUGGUUCUGGC
rnacentral:misc_RNA from 1 species